UACGUAGGCAGCGAGCGUUGUUCGGAAUUACUGGGCGUAAAGAGUGUGUAGGCGGUGCUCUAAGUUCGGUGUGAAAUCUCCCGGCUUAACUGGGAGGGUGCGCCGGAAACUGGAGUGCUCGAACGUGGGAGAGGAAAGCGGAAUUCCUGGUGUAGCGGUGAAAUGCGUAGAUAUCAGGAGGAACACCUGCGGUGUAGACGGCUUCUGGACCAUUGUUGACGCUGAGACACGAAAGCGUGGGUGCAAACAGG
rnacentral:rRNA from 1 species